rnacentral:rRNA from 1 species
UACGGAGGGUGCAAGCGUUAUCCGGAUUUACUGGGCGUAAAGAGCGCGCAGGCGGUCGUUCAAGUCGCGUGUGAAAGCCCCCGGCUCAACUGGGGAGGGUCACGCGAUACUGAUCGACUCGAAGGCAGGAGAGGGUAGUGGAAUUCCCGGUGUAGUGGUGAAAUGCGUAGAGAUGCGGAGGAACACCGAUGGCGAAGGCAGCCCCCUGGGCUGACACUGACGCUCAGGCACGAAAGCGUGGGGAGCAAACAGG